rnacentral:rRNA from 1 species
UGCCAGCCGCCGCGGUAAUACGGAGGGUCCAAGCGUUAUCCGGAAUCAUUGGGUUUAAAGGGUGCGCAGGCGGAAAUUUAAGUCAGUGGUGAAAGCCCACAGCUCAACUGUGGAACUGCCAUUGAUACUGAAUUUCUUGAAUCUAGUUGAUAAGGGCGGAAUGUGUCAUGUAGCGGUGAAAUGCAUAGAUAUGACACAGAACACCGAUAGCGAAGGCAGCUUACUAAGCUACGAUUGACGCUGAGGCACGAAAGCGUGGGGAGCGAACAGGAUUAGAUA